rnacentral:rRNA from 1 species
UGCAGUCGAACGAUGAACCCGGAGCUUGCUCUGGGGGAUUAGUGGCGAACGGGUGAGUAACACGUGAGUAACCUGCCCUGGACUCUGGGAUAAGCGUUGGAAACGACGUCUAAUACCGGAUAGGACCUCGGAUCGCAUGAUCUGGGGUGGAAAGUUUUUUCGGUCUGGGAUGGACUCGCGGCCUAUCAGCUUGUUGGUGAGGUAAUGGCUCACCAAGGCGUCGACGGGUAGCCGGCCUGAGAGGGUGACCGGCUACACUGGGACUGAGACACGGCCCAGACUCCUACGGGAGGCAGCAGUGGGGAAUAUUGCACAAUGGGCGAAAGCCUGAUGCAGCAACGCCGCGUGCGGGAUGACGGCCUUCGGGUUGUAAACCGCUUUUAGUAGGGAAGAAGGGCUUCGGCUUGACGGUACCUGCAGAAAAAGGACCGGCUAACUACGUGCCAGCAGCCGCGGUAAUACGUAGGGUCCGAGCGUUGUCCGGAAUUAUUGGGCGUAAAGAGCUCGUAGGCGGUUUGUCGCGUCUGCUGUGAAAUCUGGAGGCUCAACCUCCAGCCUGCAGUGGGUACGGGCAGACUAGAGUGCGGUAGGGGAGAAUGGAAUUCCUGGUGUAGCGGUGGAAUGCGCAGAUAUCAGGAGGAACACCGAUGGCGAAGGCAGUUCUCUGGGCCGUAACUGACGCUGAGGAGCGAAAGCGUGGGGAGCGAACAGGAUUAGAUACCCUGGUAGUCCACGCCGUAAACGUUGGGCGCUAGAUGUGGGGACCUUUCCACGGGUUUCCGUGUCGUAGCUAACGCAUUAAGCGCCCCGCCUGGGAGUACGGCCGCAAGGCUAAAACUCAAAGGAAUUGACGGGGCCCGCACAGCGGCGGAGCAUGCGGAUUAAUUCGAUGC